rnacentral:rRNA from 1 species
GUGGGGAAUAUUGGACAAUGGGCGCAAGCCUGAUCCAGCCAUGCCGCGUGAGUGAUGAAGGCCUUAGGGUUGUAAAGCUCUUUUAUCCGGGACGAUAAUGACGGUACCGGAGGAAUAAGCCCCGGCUAACUUCGUGCCAGCAGCCGCGGUAAUACGAAGGGGGCUAGCGUUGCUCGGAAUCACUGGGCGUAAAGGGCGCGUAGGCGGUCUUUUAAGUCGGGGGUGAAAGCCUGUGGCUCAACCACAGAAUUGCCUUCGAUACUGGGAGACUUGAGUUCGGAAGAGGUUGGUGGAACUGCGAGUGUAGAGGUGAAAUUCGUAGAUAUUCGCAAGAACACCGGUGGCGAAGGCGGCCAACUGGUCCGACACUGACGCUGAGGCGCGAAAGCGUGGGGAGCAAACAGGAUUAGAAACCCGUGUAGUCC